UGAGGAAUAUUGGACAAUGGGGGCAACCCUGAUCCAGCCAUGCCGCGUGAGUGAAGAAGGCCUUCGGGUUGUAAAGCUCUUUCGGCGGGGACGAAACGGUCCGUGACAACACCACGGACUAAUGACAGUACUCGCAGAAGAAGCACCGGCUAACUACGUGCCAGCAGCCGCGGUAAUACGUAGGGUGCAGGCGUUAAUCGGAAUUACUGGGCGUAAAGCGUGCGCAGGCGGCUCCUUAAGUCAGAUGUGAAAUCCCCGGGCUUAACCUGGGAACUGCGUUUGAAACUGAGGGGCUAGAGUGUGGAAGAGGGGGGUGGAAUUCCAGGUGUAGCAGUGAAAUGCGUAGAGAUCUGGAGGAACACCGAUGGCGAAGGCAGCCCCCUGGGCUAACACUGACGCUCAUGCACGAAAGCGUGGGGAGCAAACAGGAUUAGAUACCCGCGUAGUCCCUGAGCGGGCUGGCAAGGCGCAU
rnacentral:rRNA from 1 species